rnacentral:rRNA from 1 species
GAUGAACGCUGGCGGCGUGCUUAACACAUGCAAGUCGAACGGAAAGGCUCCUGCUUGCAGUGGUACUCGAGUGGCGAACGGGUGAGUAACACGUGGGUGAUCUGCCCUGCACUUCGGGAUAAGCCUGGGCAACUGGGUCUAAUACCGGAUAGGACGAUGGUUUGGAUGCCAUUGUGGAAAGUUUUGCGGUGUGGGAUGAGCUCGCGGCCUAUCAGCUUGUUGGUGGGGUAAUGGCCUACCAAGGCGUCGACGGGUAGCCGGCCUGAGAGGGUGUACGGCCACAUUGGGACUGAGAUACGGCCCAGACUCCUACGGGAGGCAGCAGUGGGGAAUAUGGCACAAUGGGCGCAAGCCUGAUGCAGCGACGCCGCGUGGGGGAUGACGGCCCUCGUGUUGUAAACGCCUUUCGCUAGAGACGAAGCGCAAGUGACGGUACCUGGAGAAGAAGCACCGGCUAACUACGUG